UUCAGCAGCACAUAUACUAAAACACACACACAAUUACAACGAUAUAGAGAAGAUUAGCAUGGCCCCUGCGCAAGAAUGACACACAAAUUCAUGAAGCGUUCCAUUAAAAA